rnacentral:lncRNA from 1 species
AGGGCUCCCUGCUCAGUGGGGAGUCUGCUUCUCCCUCUGCCCCUCCCCCCUGCUCAUGCUCUCUCACUCCCACUCUCGCUCGCUCUCUCUCAAAUCUAAAAAAAAAAAAUCUUAAAAAAUAAUAAUAAUUGAGAAGAAAAAGAAUAUAUCCCAGAAUUAGAAUAAAAUAAGUUGUCCAUGGCUCUAGAUUGCAGAGGACCUCAGAGCCAUACUGAGACAUGAUUUACAACUAGUGAAGACGGAUACCAAAUGAUGCGCAGUUGUACUGGGUUGAAUAAAGUCCCCUCAAAAUUCACGUCCUCCCAAAACCUCAGAAUGUGGCCUUAUUUGAAAAUAGUGUCUUGGCAGAUGCAAUUAAUUAACUUAAGGUGAGGUCACACUAGAUUGGGGUAGACCCUAGUACACUGCCUGGUGUCUUUGUAAGAAGAGAUGCAGAGACACACACAGGGAAAAAGCCAUGCGACUCUGUAAGCAGAUUAGAGCAACGCGUCUAUAAGUCAAGAAAUGUCAAGAAUAGCGAGUCACCAUCAGAAACUGGAAAGAGACAGGGCACAUAUGCCCGGCCCAUUUGGAAGAGCAUGUGACUCUUGAUGUCGGGGUCAUGAGUUCAAACCCCACGUGAGGUGGGGAGCCUACUUAAAAUCAGAAAGAAAAAAAAAAGGAAAAAGAAAGGAGGAGGAAGCAGGGAAGGAUCCUCCCCCAGAGCCUUUGGAAGGAGCACAGCCCUGCCACAUCUUGAUUUCAGACUUCUAGUCUCUAGGACACUGAGAAAGUAAAUUUCUGUCAUUUUAAACCACUCAGUUUGCUGUGAUUUCCCAAGGCAGCCACAGGAAACUGACACUGCAGUGAAAGGAUCUAUUGAUUUUUCUUCUUUUUUUUUUUUUAAGAUUUUAUUUGAGAGAAAAGAGAGAAUGAGUGGGAGGGACAGAGGGAGAGAGAGAAUCCCAACCAGACUCCGCGCUGAGCAGCGGAGCCCAACGCAGGACUCGAUCCCAGGACCCUGAGAUCAUGACCUGAGCCGGAGGCAGACACUUAAUCCAUUGAGCCACCCAGGUGCCCCAACGCUCUGCUGUUUUAUCCUGACCAGGUAUGACCUCUUUUUGGUGCUUUAAAUGGGAAGGAGGGAGAACAGGAGGUCCCAGGUCACUGUAUGGAACCUGAUGCCACCCUCUCCUCAGCAACAGGCUUCUCUGCAAGCUAGAUCCUGAAUUCUCUAGUUCAGACAAUGCUCAACCCAAGCCACUUCCCUGAAAAAGAAAAGGGGAAGAAAAAAAAAAUCUGCCUCAAGCAACGGAGACUCCCUGCAAUUUUCUCCCGGAGUCAAGUUCAUAUCUGUCUCCUGGCUGCCUCACGGCUCCUGUCUAGACCAAGCAGACCCCCCACCAAUGCCUUUGUGUCCACGCCCAUCAGAAGUCUUUUCUUUGUGAAACAGUCCCCUACUAGUGGGCUAGCCCUUUAAGAGCCCAGAUUAACUCCCCCCCCCCACCCGUUUGUGCCUAAAAAUACACCAAAAAGACUUCACAAUGGGAGUAAAGCCUCCCAGCAGGAAAAAUCAUGGCAAGAACACACUCAAGGUUGGAUUGAACAAUGCUACAAAAACAGGAAACACGGGGUAGCUGUGACUCCCCUUCCUUUGGAGACCCCAUUGCACACCUGCCCCAGUGGAGCAGGAAAACAGCUAAUCCCUAGUUAGCAAUCUCUGUGUGCAGGCCUAGUGCUAAGCAUUUUCACAUUUUUAGUUAGUUCCCACAACAAUCCUAUGGAGCAGAUACUAUUAUUUGCCUCAUCUUUUCAAAAGUUGAAACUGAAGCACAAAGAGACUAAGUAACUUUCCCAAGGUCACAGAGCAAAGAAAUGACAAGUCGGGAUUUGAACUUUGGUGGCCUGGCUCCAGAGUCUGCUCAUACCCACCUGUGACAGGCAGGUUAAGAAGGGCACCCAUGAUCCCCAUCUCCUGGUAAGUCACCCCUUUCAGUAAUCCCCUCCUCUUGAGUAUGGAUGGUACCCAUCACUCAACAAAAUGUGACAAAGUUGAUGGGAUGCCACUUCCGUAUUUAAAUUCCAGGUGAUGGUACUUUCCAUUUUACUAGUAGACUCUCCUUAUGGCCUUCAUGGCUUAUACACAUUGAAGAAGCAUGCAGCCAUGGUAGAAAGGCCCAGGUGGCAAGGACCUGAGGGUGCCUCCAGUCAACAGCCAGCAAAGACUAGAGGCCCUUAGUCCAAUGACCCUAAAGAAAUGAAAUUCUUGGGGUACCUGGGUGGCUCAGUGGUUGAGCCUCUGCCUUCAGCUCAGGUCAUGAUCCGGGGUCCUGGGAUCAAGUCCCACAUCGGGCUCCCCCCAGGGAGUCUGCUUCUCCCUCUGCCUGUGUCUCUGCCUCUCUCAUGAAUAAAUAAAUAAAAUCUUUUAAAAAAUGAAAUUCUUCCAACUAUAUGAGCUUAAAAAUGGGUUCUUCCCCAGUUGACUUUGGCCCUGGCUGACACCUUGAGAAGCCUUAAACAGAGAAACCAGCUAAGCUGGACUGAAUUCCUCAUCCAUAGAAACUAUGACAUAAUAAAUGUUGUUUGAAGCUUUUAGGUGUGGGGUUAUUUGUUAUGCAGCAAUAGAUAGCUAAUACAGCCUCCUGGGAUUGAGUCCCAGUUUAAGUCCCAGCUUAAGUCCCAGUUUAAGUUCCAGUUUAAGUCCCAGCUUAAGUCCCAGCUUAAGUCCUAAGCUUAGCCAUGAACCCACUGACCAUGCACCAUCCCAGGUUUCAAGUUCUCAUCAAAUUCAGUGAGACAUGAGCCAGUCUCAUUCACUCAACAACUGUUUACUUAGUAACCACUUAGUGCCAGGGAGAAGUUAUUGUGAGCUGUGACAUUGGUCUUGCUCUGUGCUUGGACUGAAACCUACCCCCCACUCCCACCCUGGGCCUCCAGCUUGCAGGGAGCAGAUCAUGGGACUCCUCCACCUCCACAAUCCUGAGAUAAUUCUUACAACAAAUCUGCUUGGUUCCAUUUCUCUACAGAACUCUAACACAGUAGACAAGAACCAUACGUAAAUAGGUCAUAUGACAGAUCACAGUAAAUUCCAGGCAGGAGAAAGCAAUUGCAGAAUGUGCUAUGUUGGUUGCAUCACAAACACUUGGGCCCUACUUUCAAGAUAAGAUAUUCAAAGAGCCUUGUUUUUCAAAAAAUUCUAAGACUAAGGACACACACACCAAAAAAUCCAAGCAAAAAUGAUCAGCUAGAGCCAAUAACCUGGCCAGAGAUCCUCAUGUAAUGGACAAAAGCUGGUCAAAAAACCAUAAAGAGCCUAUUGACCUUGGACGGAAUCUUCUGGAUGAUAGCCACAGCUUCUGUCCCUGAUUCUGAGCCUUCAACUCUUAAUCUGUAUUGGUCACCUGUCUGGUCAGCAAAGAUCACUCUGCCUCUCCAAGUCAGGCAAAGGAUCAGUCUAUAAGUCAAGGACCUAUCAGGGAAGAGAUGGCACCCUCCAAUGGAGUGACUGAGAAGCAUGGAGUGAAGGUACUAUUGAUAGAGGGGUGGGCAGGGUUGACCAACGGGGAAAAAUACAGUAGCAAGAGGCUAGCAUGGGGGGCUGACUAGGUCAGGCCUAAAGGAGAGGGGGAGGAUCACUUUCUCCACAGAGAGCUGGGGACAGCGACAGGGUAUACAACCUCUUGAGGGACACAGACAACUCACAGCAACUCCUCUGGAAAGGAGCCCACCUCCCUGUUCCCCCACCCUCAGAUCUCAGGCCGAUGCCUGCCACUGACAAAACCCAAUCAAAGACAGGGGUAAAGGACUCCGUUGAUGCACCUUAAUACAACGAGUCUCCCAAAGCACCCAGAACAUGGACCAGGGCAGCUGAGGAGACAGUGGAUCCGGGGAGGCAAAGGGAAGGCCUCCAGAACCCCAGGGAAGCAAAAUGCAAAAGAGAGAAUAAGAGGAAGAGCAAAGAUAAUGAGGAAGCAAAUUUAGAUCCAUUACAUUUGGUAUUUUUCCAAAAAGGUUUUUUCAGGAUUUCCUACCAAAUAUUUGGUAAUCUUUAUAUUCAUGUGUAUCAGAUUUUUAAGAUGCUUAAAGCAUUUAAAAGUGUCUCAUGGGACACCUGGGUGGAUCAGUGGUUGAGCUUCUGCCUUUGGCUCAGGACGUGACCCUGGAGUCCCGGGACCGAGUCCCGCAUCUGGGUCCCUGCAUGGAGCCUGCUUCUCCCUCUGACUGUGUCUCUGCCAUUCUCUCUGUGUCUUUCAUGAAUGAAUAAAUAAAAUAUUUUUUAAAAAAUAAAAAUAAAAGUGUCUCAUAAUGUGGCUCACAAUUUCCAUCAAGUUUUCAUUUGGAAGAGCUUAAUUGCUUAAGUUUUUCUCAUUCUUCAAGUGUUUGGGGAACUCUAAUCUGUAAAACUCAUCUUUUCAUAUAAUAAAAGCAGAAUGUGAAGAUUUUAUCAACUGCUUCAGAACAAGUAACAAUUUCAGGUGGGUUCCUGGAAGUGUACAAAAGCCCCUUGGACAUAAAAGUUAAUUAUUAAAAGGGGGUAAGUCCAGUGUCACUGUGAGCUGCGGGGAAGUAAGCUCUGGGUGAUCUUGCACCUCUUCUUCCUCAUGGUCACCUGUUGAUCCUGUCCUGAGUUGACCCCAGAGUCCAGUUCUAAACUUCAGAUUUUCUUAAUUUGAGGGUUUUUUUCUUGGGUGGGGGUGGGUGGGUGUUGGGUUGGGUAGAAGAACUAGAGCUUUCAAGAGUCUCAAAGGUAAUAAAAAGUCAAAUAACCCAACUGAAAAAUGGGCAAAGAAUCGGUAUAGACAUUCCUCCAAAGAAGAUACACAAAUGGCCAAGAGGCACAUGAAAAGUUACUCAGAAAAGAAAAGAAAAAGAAGGGGCAGCCCCGGUGGCGCAGCGGUUUAGUGCUGCCUGCAGCCUGGGGUGUGAUCCUGGAGACCCGGGAUCGAUUCCCACAUCGGGCUUCCUGCAUGGAGCCUGCUUCUCGCUCUGCCUGUGUCUCUGCCUCUCUCUUCGCUCUCUCUGAAUGAAUGAAUGAAUAAAUCUUAAAAAAAAAAAAGAAAAUAAUAAAGAAAAGUUACUCAGUAGCCAUCAGGGGAAGGAAAUUCACACCACAAUGAGAUUCCACGCUACACGCUAGGAUGCUAUAAUGAAAGAGACCUCUAAUAAGUGUUCAAAAAGAUACAGAAAAAUCAAGCCCCAUUUAUCGCUGGUGAGAUUGUAAAAUAGGCGGCCACUUCAGAAAAGUCUGGCAGUUCCUCUAAAGGUUAAACAGGAGCACCUGGAUGGCUCAGUGGUUGACCAUCUGCCAUCGGCUCAGGUCGAGGUUGUGAUCCCCGGGUUCUGGGAUCAAGUUCCACAUCAGGCUCCCCACCCAGGGAGCCUGCUUCUCCCUCUGCCUCUCUCUGUGUGUCUCUCAUGAACAAAUAAAUACAAUCUUUACAAAAUAAAAAUAAAAUGCAAAAUUCGUGGCUGAGAUUCUUUCUCAGGCUGUCUCUCGGCCACCUUAUCUCCAUAAAAGAGGGAGAGAGAAAACCCUAAUACAAGGUAGACUCCUGUGAUAAAGACAGAAGCAAAGGGACAUGGGCCUCUUUCUCUUUCCAGCAUCAGGAAAGGGUCCCAACCGAGGCCAUAACAUGUGCGGAUUCACCCUUUUGCCCUCACAGGUGCGGACAGCCCAACCUGUUCACCCACAGACCUUCAGAGCACACUGGGGAGCCACCCUGACCAGAGACCUUCAGUUGUCUGGGAGGUGCUAGGGUUAGCCUGCCAAAGGGCCCCAAAGAGAAAGAAGAGGGAGGGAAAGUUCCCUCCCCAGGGCAAAAUGGGAAAUCCCUCACAUUUUUGGGUGAGGGCAAUCCAGGUGGUUCCCCGGGGCUUCAGAUCUUCACCAACGAGGCACCUUGGCCAGAGGUCGGAGGUUGGCGGGUCCCCAAGGAGCCUGAGAAGUCAGUCCUCCAAAGAAAUGUCCUGAAAAUUUCCAAGAGAAUAUACAGGGAGCACCCAGGGCCAGCAAAGGCUCUCACCAUGCAGGGCCUACCAAAUUAGGGGAUGGCUACAAAGUCUCCCCAUAUGGGUCACCAAAUGUGGGGUUCCCCCAGUUGGACAGGGGCCACCAAAUUUGGAGUGACCCAACAACUUGGUGGAAGCCGGCAGCACAGGCAAAGAAUUCGCCCAAGGAUCCCUGGGUGGCUCAAUGGUUUAGCACCUGCCUUCAACCCAGGGCGUGAUCCUGGAGUCCUGGGGUCGAGUCCUGCAUCAGGCUCCCUGCGUGGAGCCUGCUUCUCCCUCUGCCUGUGUCUCUGCCCCUCUCUCUCUCUCUCUCUGUGUCUCUCAUGAAUAAAUAAAUGAAAUAAAAAAAAAAAAAAAAA